rnacentral:rRNA from 1 species
GAUGAACGCUGGCGGCGUGCCUAAUACAUGCAAGUCGAGCGAACAGACGAGGAGCUUGCUCCUCUGACGUUAGCGGCGGACGGGGGAGUAACACGUGGAUAACCUACCUAUAAGACUGGGAUAACUUCGGGAAACCGGAGCUAAUACCGGAUAAUAUAUUGAACCGCAUGGUUCAAUAGUGAAAAACGGUUUUUCUGUCACUUAUAGAUGGAUCCGCGCCGCAUUAGCUAGUUGGUAAGGUAACGGCUUACCAAGGCAACGAUGCGUAGCCGACCUGAGAGGGUGAUCGGCCACACUGGAACUGAGACACGGUCCAGACUCCUACGGGAGGCAGCAGUAGGGAAUCUUCCGCAAUGGGCGAAAGCCUGACGGAGCAACGCCACGUGAGUGAUGAAGGUCUUCGGAUCGUAAAACUCUGUUAUUAGGGAAGAACAAAUGUGUAAGUAACUAUGCACGUCUUGACGGUACCUAAUCAGAAAGCCACGGCUAACUCCGUG